AGGAUUUGAGGGAAGCAUGUUAAGACUGUGACAAUAUGGUCUUAAGGCAGCCGGCCUCAUUGAGAACAAGAAAAUACCCUGCUUUAUGUAGCGGUUGUUAUUUGUUAAUAUGACAUGUCUCGGCAGUGUAGUGACCCUGUGCUUAAUUAAGGCUUCAGGUUCAAAUCAUGGUAAACCAAAAUGAAAGCGGCCGGUUGAAAAAGUAGCAGAGUCGAAAAUGGAAAUUAAUGAGCUGCAGAAGUAAAUUUUAGAAGAAUAAUUCUCUUCUUCUUUGUUGUAUCCUUGUGGCUGAGGGACAUGACGAAUGAGGCCAUUCUUUACCAGUGUUCUUCACGCCACUCAAUCCUGGGCCCGGUGCAUGCUAGCCUGCAGUGGUCUUUGUCAGAGACGUUAUUGUGUCUGCCCAAUGUGUGCCCAUGCUGCCACUUCUUCACUUCCUUGCCGUGUCCUGUGAUUAUGGGAAGAAUAAUAUGCAAAUAAAAACCAACAAUGGGCCAUCGAAGAACAGGAGAGGGCAUGUGGGCCUUAGAGAAAGAGUUGUUAAUGUGAAGACUAAAUAAAUUCAACAAAUAAAAUCUCAACUAUAAUACUGUCUUUGGUACACCCGCUACCAUCGCGUCAAAUAGUGAAAGUGCAGUUCAGUGUAAGCAAAGACAGUGUACAAGAUAUACCACUCACCUAUGGCAUUAGUGUUACUAGACCACAUUAAUACAUAAAGACUAUUUUUCUAAACUUGUGUAUAGCUCUGUGUUGUCUUAAUAAAUCCUAUUGGAAACAC